rnacentral:lncRNA from 1 species
GCAACACAUUGUCGCUACUGCAGUGGCUACCCCGCAUUCCCAGUGAAAAUGCAUACGGACAGAACCCGCUCUGCGGAAAGGUCUAGCCUGCAUUCGUUAUAAUCUGUGACGAUUUAAAGGUCAUUAGGCAGCUUCCUGUUGCUGAAAAAACAACAUCAUCAAAUUCUUGAAGUAGAUAAACUUCAUGAGGCUGAACUAGGGAAAGAAUGGAGAAUGAAGCAAAAUACAGAUUCUGCAAUUGCAAGAAAGGUGGACAUCAAGAGAUACCAAAAGAAGACAGAGAACCGCUUUUUCCCCUAGAGAAAGGGAUGUGGAGGGCAAACUAUUGCAGAAGAAAAAAUUAUGUGAUCUCAAUUAUGUUUCCUCUGCCUGUUUCCAUGGCAUGAAUGUACUUGUGCACUGUGUAUCUGGAAAAAAACUCCAUUUACUGGGCAAUUUUACUCUUUGGAUUCUGGUAUACUGUUCCUGCUGGAGACUACUUAUUUCUGGGAUAUAUAAAAUUUCUGGGCAAUAUAAGACCAACAUUUUGGAAUGAGGUAAUUGCACCAAAUGAGAAACAUUUCCCAGAGACAAUCAGAGCUACCUCAUUUUCUGCCUUCUCUCUAAUGUUUAAUGACCUUGAUGGAAUUACAUUGAUUAGGUAAGUAUAUAGCUGAAUUUUUAUCGGACAUUUCUGUUCUUGUAAAAAAAGAUCAUAUGUACUGAUGUAACAAUAUUUGCCAAAUGUUUGUGCUUCCUCCUGAAUCAUAAGAAAACAUUUUUUUAUGACCAUCAGAAACUGAAAGCCAGUCUAAGCCUUUAGAUAUUACUCCUUUUCCCUUCAAAGCACCACAACUGGAACAGAUGGAAUUGGCACACACACUGGAGAAAAAUCUUUUUGGCACUUCUGUUAAACUGUUGGCAACAAUUUGCUGUUAAUUCUUCAUUAUUGGAGGACUAUAACAUUUUGAAUGAUCACCAGGAAGUUAAAUAUUCCUGGUUGAAUUUUCAUAUCAGAUAACUUGUGCUAAAGUUCAAGAUUCUUUUGGGGUUUCACAGCUUUUUCGCUAAUAUGCAGUGGGAAAAUAUCCAGUGAUCUGCAAGUAGGGACAAGACAGGUCACACCGAAAUGAGCUUGCAACCUGUGAUCUCCUUCUUCCAAUGAAUGCUAAGUGUCAUGUGGAACCCAAGCUUUGGGUGAAUCUUUAACAAUUUUGAACAUGUCCUCACUUUGAGGACUUUGAACUAAAUUUGCAGAUUAUUUCCCCUUUAAUUUGAAUUGUUAUUUCUUAAAGAAAGCUGACUAACCCUUCCUCCCCUGCUCAACAACUGUUUGUCCCUGUCAGUGGGAAUCUGCAUGCUGUCCAUUGCAGAAUGGAAGCUUGAACAGUAAGUGGAAUUUCAGGGACAAAUAAUUAAUUUGUUGACCUCCACCUCCAGAAUAAUUUCACCCAAAGCAAAUGCAAAAAGAUAUAUAUUAAUAUGAUAGCAUGGUUAGGAACUUCACCCACUGUUCCUUGUUUGGGCUUAAUUGACCAUAAUUCAUGACUGAUUUAGGUCUUCGAUCAUGUAAAAAGUAAUGCAAAAAAAAAAAAAAAAAAAAAGAAAAACAAAAAAAACCCUGGUAGCAUUUAGGGUUUUUCAAAACUUUAAAAAACAUAAAGA